AAUUUUGAAUAAGGGUCAUUUCAAUGUUCCUUAACCAAUGCCCAGUAAAUAAAAAAUAAUUUCGCUGUAACUAAACUAAUAUAUUGUCGCUGAAUCCCCAAACCGGAGUUAUCGUCAAUGAGCGCUGGCGACAUUUCCCUGUCAGGAACGUUUGCUCAAUCGGGCCGAUUGCAAAACAGACAUGGCGGUACUCGAAUUCUAGCGGUUAGAAUUCGGUCGGUUAUCGGCUCGAUUUCCAUCCGCCUGCUCGAUUGCUCGAAAACAGACGAUAUUUAUCGCAGUGCUGCAUGAAAAAACGAAACACAGGCAGUUUUCAAUCGCAGCAAUAUGGGUGCGUGUUUCGUUUUGGUGCGAGAUGGUUAUGAAUUGUGUUGUGAAAUUUGGUCGCAGUUCUGUUUCUGCCGUUUCCGCUGUUUCUUUUCAGAAAUGCUUUUAGCGGUAUGUAGAAGAAGCCAUUGUCCGGCGAUAAUUUAAUAAAAAGCGAGGUAUGUUUGAUUGAUUGAAUUCUAAAUAAUCAAGUUUUAUUUAUAUCAUUUUCUAACCCUUAAUUGUCCCCAUAGAAAACAUCGAACCAUGCAAACAAAGCUUCCAAAGAAAUGUCCACACUGUACAGGCUCUGGUGGAAUGCUAUCCCGGACAUCGUAUCCGGAUCCGGAUCCCGGACACGCUCUAAGAAAACAUCGAUCCAUCGAAUUCCAAGGAAAUGUCCACACGGUACGGUAUCCAGAUCCGGAUCCCAGGCACGCUCAGAGGUGGUGGCUUCACUUGGAUUACUUUUCAUCUAUUUUUGGUGUUAUACUUCAAAAGGAAAGCAAAGUGAGUACCGUUGUCACAAUUAUUUACACAGAAAAAAAUAAUGACUAUUACGUGUCAUUGAAUAUGCUCGCCUUUAAAAUAAUUCGACCUGUAAUUUAAAAAACAUUUAGUUUUAAAUCGGAAAUGCCCUGUAACAAAAGGAGCAAGACAGUUGCCGUAGUUUUACUGGUCGAAAAAAAUUACGUGCUGUUGAAAUACGCGUCGUCCAAUAAUUUUAAAUUGCAAACUAAAAAAAUGAAGUCUGCCUGGCAUCCCAGUAUUCGUCGAAAGGAGAAACGUCAGAAAUAUCUCGCGCGGACAGUUUCUUUGUUUUGAUUUGGUUCUCUGUUGUUUUUACUUUGCAUUCUCUGUUGUUUUUUUCUUUGGCCCAACUUGCGUACUACACGGACAGAAAAAACAACCCACUCUAGGUACUUUUGACGUAAAUCGCCACCUCAGUGCAGGAACUUACUAGUAGGUUAAAACACAACAACCUAGAAGUAGGUAGUUGUGCUUUAAGGUACCAGUGGGUAGAAAUGACUUACUUCGUUAAUUUAUGGGGAAAAUGAAAUAGUUCUAUAAAAUUAAUGUUUUAUUAUUUUUGUAAUGAGGAAUUCUUCCCAAGAAUAUGUAUUUCGGAUAAAAGGUUUGUUUUAUCAAUAUUUUGAGGUGAAUAUAUUUAUUUUUUUUUUAUGAGGAUGGAAAAAGUUUUACUUUUCACAUACAUUUUGGAGGACAUACUUUCGGCUAAAAUUUUCGACACGUUGAAGAAUUUUCCGCCAGUCGUUGCUGUUGCUGGUUACAUAAAAAAUUUCGAAGGGUUGGUUGGUUCCCUAAGAUGGGAUAACACUAUAAAGGUCCAACCUUAAGUUAUUCCGGAACUGACGGCAACAAAAUCAUAUUCCGGCUAUCUACUCUCUGGACUGUGCUUGACCUCCAUGACAUACUACGGAUGGUUUAUCCGUAGUUCCGGCCAGAAUCGGAAGAGUAAAGAUGGUCCAUGUUUUCUCUAUAUUUCCACUACAAAUUGAAAAAAGAAUAUGGUCAAUAGAUUAUCAAUUGGAUUGGAAACACAAAACUUACAAAAUUUCGUUUUCGGAUGUUUGCUGGGAUCCGUUUCUGAUGCUGUUCCUGUUCCUGUCCUUUUGUGGUUCAUGCUGGUUUUCGAUUUGAUCUCUCGAUGGUGCUAAGAAUAAUAAGGUAAUAAGGUCGAAUUAAGUUCCAUCGUCAACUUCCGAACUGCUUUCAGCCAGCCGCUAGAAAUCCUCUGGUUUUGUUUGUUGUAGCUGAAAUCUCCAAUACCAACUGGAACCGAGCAAGACUUGAUGCUGCGGGGCCACUCGUUGGUCAUAAAAAAUUCUCCGUCAAACUGUUACGGCACUGUGAAAGAAAAAAGGAAUUGCCGGAACCCUCUUACAUUUGUCUUGUGACUGGAACUCUAGAACACUGGAAAAUCCAGUGUUUUCUGUUUUAUUAGCACUGAAAAUUUAAAGCAUACUUACCGGAAACUCGGUCUGGUGGCCUCUUACUGUUCAAGGAUAAAAUAUUUCUGCCUUUCAGCAAGCUCUGCCCAAAAAUUUGCAGCAAAUCGACACACGCGUCGACUAAGUUGAGAAAAAAAAAUGUCUGCCAAUAGAAGAAAGAUUAUUACCCAUCCACUGGGUACUUUGCUGAAAACCUCCAAGUAGAUUAAAACUACCCACUCAAAACUACGUACUUUGGGCUUAAUAGGCAUCAACCCAGUAGUGAGUAGUUGAGUGGGUAGUUUUGUUUUGUCCGUGUAUCUGUUGUUUUGUGCCGGAACAACUCCAGCACUUGCUCCGUACCGUGUUUUUUUCCUGUCGACCAGACCAGAAGAGAUGCAGCGAACCGAGAAGUUCCGGUAGGCCAAAACAAAUUUGUGCAUCCUGGAACUACUUGAACAUCAUCCAACCGGAUUUCGAAGCGGCUGAAUGCAGUAAUAACUCAGUUCAUCUGUUCCUCCUCCGCCUCAAGAGAACCAUUAGUGGAUUUCGAUAGGGAGGAAUAUUACCAUGUCAAAACGCGGCGAAAGGGAGUAUGAGGGAUGCGUCUCCUGUAUCGCUGAUGUAGAGAACAUUGAAGCCCGCAAGUUGAGGAAAGUAUGCCACUGUGGAUUGCCGAAGGUCACGAGUCUGCAAAGUUCGUUCAAAUACGCAAUCUGCCGUUUCCGAUUGUAUGUGGCGGAUGUUAAACGAUUUACACUGCAGCUCCAUGCAUCGCGCUGGGAUCCGGAGUUGUCUACGAAGGGAUUUUAAACACAUCAACAUGAGCAACGAAAGUACUACGCAUGAAUCUGUAGUGCUAUUUUUUCCCCUGUCGAUCCAUCUUCUUAGUGGCGAAAUUCAUUUUAGAAAGGAACCAAUACUGUAUCUCCUUUUUGUUAACCACCUGGAUCAAUUUUAGCUGAUGGAAUAGGCUCAAAAGUUUUGCUGAUGUUUGGAAAACUCGAACAACCCUCAAGCCAUCUCUUCACAACAUUGGGUGGUAUGAAAAAAAACAAGUUAUUGCUUUUGCUAAACUAAAUCGAGCAGUCGAGCAGUCGCUUAAAGCAAUUGCUUCGGUUGUUAUGAAUAAAGUUUUUUUGACAGCUGUUUUCUCAGUCAGGAGCUUUUACUUUUAGAACAAGCUAGUUUGGUAUGAAUAAAGCUCAAAUCUGAAGCAAUUGCUCGACAAAUCUCCUAGCUAUUGCUUUAUUUUCUAAGCAUGCUCGGUAGCAGACUUUUCCAAUAAAAAAUUCUUUAAUAACGUCAUGAAUUUAUCAAAUUAGCAAUAUUUCACUUCAAAACAAUUCAAAAAGGCAUUUUCAACUUGGAUAAAGAAAAUUCGAAGUGAUAACCCAACUUUUUUCAUAUUCCUGUCGUUGUAUAAAAUCAUUCGUCUAAGAUUAAACAAAUCAAUUAGUAAAUAUUUCAAAUUAAAAAAAAACUGGCUAUAGUGAAAGAAGUCCCAAUUGGCUCAAAGUAAGAAAUAAAUUGUAAUAAUUUAAAAUAUUAUACAGAUCUAUCAUUUUUAUAUAAUUUUGUUAUAAUCCUAAGAUUUAAAAAAUAUCUAAAUUAAAAUGCGCGCCUAUUACUAUUUUUUAUACAUCGGAUUAUCCCGAUCCGAAUACAUGUGGAAGAGCUUAUGAUAAAUAUUAAAGUUAGGCAAUUUUGUGUUUGACAAUAUUCGAAUAUGUUUUCAUUUUUCUUUAAACAUCAACAUACGAGCACGCAUUUACAAAAAAAAAUUCCGGUCGUUCUUACACCCACCAACCGCUUCGUCGAGUUCAAGGCUACUUUAGCCGUACUUUUCAAUUUUCUGAUCGUCUUCUUUCAUUUUACUUUAGAAAACUUCAGAUUCUGCUGGUUGGAUAGCUCUAUUUUUCGAAGCAAAAGCUAUGUUCUAAGACUUUAGUACACAUCCGCUUAGAAAAUGUUUAUUCAUACCAAACUAAGCAAAUGCUUUGGACUUUUGCUUUGAUUGAUUUCGAGCUAAGUAAAAGCUAUCGAAGCAAUUGCUAAACCUUAUUCAUACCACUAAUUGUACCCCGAAGAUGGAUUUCGCAUGAUGUGGUUGUCAUCCCAAGGAUUUAAUCAACACCUGAAAAUGGACGAAUUGCUUAACAAGAAGAAGCUUGCGCCAGACAUCGCAAUGUCUUGUAGCAGAAGAGGUAACAAAAAAUAAAUUAGAAGAAAAAAACGGAAAAAUAAAAAACAAAUGAAACAAAAGUCUCUAGCUUUUUGUAAACAAACCGAAAAACCUAAAUGAAUGGCAACCAUGCUAAUCGGUCCAGAAACGGCUCAAAA